rnacentral:lncRNA from 1 species
ACUAACCAAGAUUUGAGUUAGGUAUGGUGCCCAUAGUUUGGGCUUAUCCAGGGCCCAAUUAUAAGAUUAAAACCGGUCAUAUUAUAGGACCCAACAAAUAGAUUAUCCACAUAAAAAAUCAGGUUAAUUGAACAUUUAUAACCAUAAAAUCUUGUAAAAAUGGACAACAAGUAUAAUUUUAAAAUGAAUUACAACACAAAUAUAAUCCGAUGUUAUGCCUGCCGAUAUCCGAUCAAUUUAAAAUUUUGCAUGAGUUAUGUACUUGUUGAGUCCUAUAAGAAUCACAUAAUUGAGACCAAGAGGGACUAAGCACGUAUAACACCU